UUUCUCUGGCAAUAGCGCGAUUCUGCGUUUGGAAGAACUCAGCUGGUCCAACAACUUCGAUAGUUCUUCAGGAGAGAAAUGUGGUACGAAGCAUUACCUAGUUUGUUUUUGACCGGUUUCUUUGUAUGCCUUCCGUAUGGCAUUCUUCCGGUUGUUCACAAGGUUUUCCAGAAUGGGAAUGCAUAUUCAAGGCUUCAAAAUAAAACCCACGACAGGUUUCUCUAUAGACGGGAUACUCGUUUGACUGGUAACCCUUAUGUGCUGAAGGGUUUGGAAUCUAUCCCUGAUUAGACAAACUGAUUUUAGGUCUCAGUGUUACCAUAGAAGAUUUGAUGAAAUAAAUGUAUUAGUGGGACAGACGAA